AAACACCGGUUCUCGUUCGAUCAGCAAAGUUAAGCAAUGUUGAGUCUGGUCAGUAUCCAAAUGAGUGACCGCUUUGGAAUAUCAGGUACUGUAAG